rnacentral:rRNA from 1 species
UCUUGGAAGUAAAAAGAAAAUGUCUACCAGAGUACUACGAAUUUAAAGAAUUUAAAACUCAAAGGGCUUGGCGGUGCUUUUAGACCUUUUAGGGGAACCUGUCUUGUAAUCGACAAUCCACGCUAAACCUAACCUUUUUUUGCAAACAGUUUGUAUACCGUCGUCGUCAGGUAACUUUUAAAAAAUUAAUAGUUAGCAUAAAAAGAUAAAUAAUUUUAAACGUCAGAUCAAGGUGCAAUCAAUAAAAAGGUUAAGAUGGGUUACAAUUAUAUAUUAAUAAUACGAAUGGAUAACUGAAAUGUUUUCUUGAAGGAGGACUUAAAAGUAAAGAUGUUUAUAUAUUUAUAUAUAGAUAUAUGUAUUGAAUAAGGCUCUGAAGCGUGC